UAUUAAUAAUACAAGCUUGUGAACAGUACACUUGCCACGUGUGAGUGUAAUGUUGGCUGCAUUUGUUUUUUUUUUUUUCCAUUAGUCCUUCUUAAUGAGUAUUUAUAUACUUUAUUAUUGGAGUGUGUAACGAAUUACGCUCCAUGGCUUAGUGGUUGCUGUGUUCGCUGGUCUGUGUGUAAACCUGGGUUCGAGUCCCAGGUAGAUCUUUUAACCAUAUUUUUAGUUUUGGGGGUUUCAAUUGACACGCGUCUCUCUAUUCUUUUUUUCGAUACACGCGUCUCCACAGCUUUCUUCUCACCUUACACCUGGCCGACUGCUUCAGUAUGUCUGGCAUCAUCUCCUCCAUAAACUCCUUUUUCACGUGUAAACAGUCGGCUAGGGUUCACCUGUAAGAGAUGUUGCUGGUUCAACAUGGAAACAACGGUAGAAGACGAACAUAUAGGCAUUCAGCGUCCGAUUUCAUCACUCUCACUCACCGGAAAAAAUGGCGAUUGCUUAAUAUAGGCAUUCAGCGUCCGAUUUCAACACUCUCACUCACUGGAAAAAAUGGCGAUUGCUCAACUUUCUUCAAUGUUCAUCUCUAUGUAUCUCCACCACCGCUAGAAUCUCUGUUGUUUCUCAUUUUUCGGCGUCAUCCGGUUUGCAUUGAAUUGGAACAAGUUUCAUUGACAAUUCACCCGUUUGGUAGUACGUGUUGAAGUUAGCUCUAUUGUAGAUUUGUACAACUUUGUGUUAAGGUUCAGUACGCAUUAUGUUACAUUAGAGUGAGGGGGUGACGGUGGAUGAAGCCCAUCGUGAAGGAAUCCGAUCGCUGCCAUGUCUUAGACAACGACGGCGAUGGUUUGUGGAGGUUAUGGUCGGCAACUGUUUAAACCUAUUCUGUUGGUAAUCAUCUAUUUCUCUGUUGACUGUUUCUAGGGGUUUUUUAAAUGUUUCUUAUACCCAUUUCCAGUGUUUUAUCUUUAUUGAGACUUUUGAUGUUAAGUAGAAGGAUUGUGUUUCACCUAGCAAGGAAGUUGUUAACCAGGUUUAGUAUUGGCAGCGAUGGAAGUUUUCAGCUAAAACUGCUUAACCCCGACGAAUACUAAUCUGCAGCGCGUUGGGUUGUAAAGCUCUGGGGGUGGGGUUUUGGGCAGAGAAGAGAUGUAGCGAAGAUGAAAAAUGGGUUGGAUCCAAAAUUUAAUUUUGGGAUUACUUCAAGGAGAUAUGUACGAAUUUCACAAGGUGUGUGUAAGGCCAUAGUCACACAAUUCGCUCAAAAAGAUGCGAAUUUCGUUUUGGUACAUUUCGUACCAUACGGAAUUCGUAUGUGUAUAAUACGAUGCCAAUUCGCGUAUCUUAUUCUUCAAUUCAGCGCAUCAGGUUCAUGAAUUAAGCGAAUUUCUUUUAUGUACAAAGAUGUGAAAUUAAAGUUUUAUGCACAAGAAUGGUGACGCAGAUGAAAAAAAUAAACCUUACCUGUGAUGUGAUGAUGAACCCUAGUGAAAAUGGAGGAGACGAUGGAGAUGGAGGCUGACAUAAUAUGACGGCUGCGUUUCUUUAAUCUAUUUUAACCUAAACCUCUUUUAUUUACAUAUUUCAUCCUUUAUGUUUGUGUUAUUAUAAGUUUUAAUCUAAGGUUUUUUUUAUAAAGUUACAUAUUUCAUCCUUAGACCUCAAUACUUUUAUUUUUUAUCAACUUUAACUUAAAACGUUUUUUAAUUGUUUACUUUUUUUUCUUAUUUCAUUAAGAAAUGUGUAUACCGAACCGGACGGAAUGGUACACCGAACCGAAUCGUACCGAAAUGAACCUACCCUCCUCCGAACCGAAUUCGUCGCAACUAGUGAAUCGCGAACCCGAAUCGCGUACCCGAACCGGAGCGAACCGCGUAUUAGGUGACUAUGUGUAAGGCUGUAAGGAUGAGAAGUUGUAGGUAUGUAGUUUCACAAAAGCUUUGGCGGGAGGCAUGCUAUGUUCUCAAUGAAGCCUGAUACAAGGUAAACGUUAUACAUGCUACUUUGUUGUGCUCUCAUAUGAAUAGGGUCAAUUGUUUGAAAUAAGUAUGUAGUUUACUUUAUUAAUGGUUAUUAAUCAGUGACAUACAACGAAAGUUAUAAGUAAUUAUAGUGUAUGACGAAACCCAAGUAAUAGUACCGUUCCCAUUUUGCUAUGAAUCAAGCAACAUACUUCCAUCUUUGACCAAUUAGCAACUUGCUUUCAUUUUUAACUGUUCACAUAAACAUAUUUUUUUUUCAUCGACAACAGCAAUGUAAUUUAUUAUUUUGGUUUUGAUUUGCUAAUUGGGAAAGAAGUUAAAGUAUGCUACUACUUCAUGUGAUAUUCAAAGUUUGUUGCUGCUAUUAAUAGGAGAACAUGUACAUUAUCUUGCCAGUUCAUUUAACCCCAUAUAUAUUAUGUUUAGAAAUUUAAAUUGGGCUUAAUGUUGUAUCCUAUUAAUAGCCUGCCUUCUUCAGUUCUCCAACUUACUUUUCAAAUGGACUAGCUUCAUGACGGUUCAACAAGUGUAUAAUUGGAAUUUAUUUCUAUAUUUAUUGCUGGUAUACUGGUAGAGUGCAUUGUUUAUGUUUUAGUGUGUUCCGAUUCCAGCCUUGGGGAAGGUAUUUUUUUAGAUUAUUGCUUACUUUUACACAUGUUUUCUCCAUGCUUAUCUCUUACUAUUACGUGGCUAACUAGGGAUAUGAACAUAAAGAAACGUGCGCCAAGAGUAAGUUUAUACAAGUGUUUUGUUUUCUUCUUUUUGUUAUAAAGUUUAGAACGAUGAACUACUCGCAAUCAGCUACGGUUUAGUUGGACUUACAGCAAGCCGAUUAUGGCGGUAAUCCGUUAUUGCGGAGAAGGGGUGCAAAGAGGAUUCAUAGCGCUGACAGGUAUAGGUUAUUGAUUUUGGCAUGGAUCAGUUGGCAGACAUCAAUUAGGGUCUUAGGUCCCAAGUAUUUUGACAUAUAUUUUUUCAAAGAUGGAAGGCAUUUUGAUUUGGAAUAAUAUGUUUGGUGUUAAUUCAAGUUAGUUUGUGUUUAGAUCAGCCGCUCGCCGCAAUGAGCGACGGGUACUUUC